rnacentral:rRNA from 1 species
AUUGAACGUUGGCGGCACGCCUUAUACAUGCAAGUCGAACGAGAAAGCACUUCGGUGUGAGUACAGUGGCGGACGGGUGAGUAACGCGUAGGAAUCUACCUAGUAGUGGGGGACAACUCGGGGAAACUCGAGCUAAUACCGCAUACGACCUUAGGGUGAAAGUGGGGGAUCUUCGGACCUCACGCUAUUAGAGGAGCCUGCGUUGGAUUAGCUAGUUGGUGAGGUAAAGGCUCACCAAGGCGACGAUCUAUAGCUGGUCUGAGAGGACGAUCAGCCACACUGGAACUGAGACACGGUCCAGACUCCUACGGGAGGCAGCAGUAGGGAAUCUUGGUCAAUGGGGGCAACCCUGAACCAGCGAUGCCGCGUGUGCGAAGAAGGCCCUAGGGUUGUAAAGCACUUUCAGUCGCGAAGAAAUCUUUAAAAUUAAUACUUUUGAAGUUUGACGUUAACGACAGAAGAAGUACCGGCUAACUCCG